UCGAACGAUGGAUCCCAGCUUGGUGGGGGAUUAGUGGCGAACGGGUGAGUAACACGUGAGUAACCUGCCCUUGACUCUGGGAUAAGCCUGGGAAACCGGGUCUAAUACUGGAUAUGACCUUCUGGCGCAUGCCAUGUUGGUGGAAAGCUUUAUUGCGGUUUUGGAUGGACUCGCGGCCUAUCAGCUUGUUGGUGGGGUAAUGGCCUACCAAGGCGACGACGGGUAGCCGGCCUGAGAGGGUGGACGGCCACACUGGGACUGAGACACGGCCCAGACUCCUACGGGAGGCAGCAGUGGGGAAUAUUGCACAAUGGGCGCAAGCCUGAUGCAGCGACGCCGCGUGGGGGAUGAAGGCCUUCGGGUUGUAAACCUCUUUCAGUAGGGAAGAAGCGAAAGUGACGGUACCUGCAGAAGAAGCGCCGGCUAACUACGUGCCAGCAGCCGCGGUAAUACGUAGGGCGCAAGCGUUAUCCGGAAUUAUUGGGCGUAAAGAGCUCGUAGGCGGUUUGUCGCGUCUGCCGUGAAAGUCCGGGGCUUAACUCCGGAUCUGCGGUGGGUACGGGCAGACUAGAGUGAUGUAGGGGAGACUGGAAUUCCUGGUGUAGCGGUGAAAUGCGCAGAUAUCAGGAGGAACACCGAUGGCGAAGGCAGGUCUCUGGGCAUUAACUGACGCUGAGGAGCGAAAGCAUGGGGAGCGAACAGGAUUAGAUACCCUGGUAGUCCAUGCCGUAAACGUUGGGCACUAGGUGUGGGGGACAUUCCACGUUUUCCGCGCCGUAGCUAACGCAUUAAGUGCCCCGCCUGGGGAGUACGGCCGCAAGGCUAAAACUCAAAGGAAUUGACGGGGGCCCGCACAAGCGGCGGAGCAUGCGGAUUAAUUCGAUGCAACGCGAAGAACCUUACCAAGGCUUGACAUGAACUGGAACAGCGCAGAGAUGUGUUGGCCGCUUGCGGCCGGUUUACAGGUGGUGCAUGGUUGUCGUCAGCUCGUGUCGUGAGAUGUUGGGUUAAGUCCCGCAACGAGCGCAACCCUCGUUCUAUGCUGCCAGCGCGUUAUGGCGGGGACUCAUAGGAGACUGC
rnacentral:rRNA from 1 species